UACGUAGGGUGCGAGCGUUAAUCGGAAUUACUGGGCGUAAAGCGUGCGCAGGCGGUGAUGUAAGACAGGUGUGAAAUCCCCGGGCUUAACCUGAGAACUGCAUUUGUGACUGCAUCGCUGGAGUGCGGCAGAGGGGGAUGGAAUUCCGCGUGUAGCAGUGAAAUGCGUAGAUAUGCGGAGGAACACCGAUGGCGAAGGCAAUCCCCUGGGCCUGCACUGACGCUCAUGCACGAAAGCGUGGGGAGCAAACAGG
rnacentral:rRNA from 1 species